rnacentral:rRNA from 1 species
CGCAACCCCAGGUCAGACGUGGUUACCCGCUAAAUUUAA